rnacentral:lncRNA from 1 species
CAGGAUAUACAGGGAGAAAGGCCAUAGCGAAGAAAAGACAUAAAUAUUGACAUGCCAUUGAAUCAAAAUAAUUCAGUAUCUAUACAACAUCGGUAUUGUAAUCAUAAGAAGACAUAGAGAAAUAUUAAAAUCUGAAUUAAACCAGCUGUAUCUUUAUUAUCCUUCAAAUGGACCAGACUCCUGUAUCAGUAUUUUUUUGUUUUUGGUCCCUAGAGCUGCAGACACCAAUGUAGGAGGAGACACCUGUCAUCCUCUAUAUUGCUGGAAAGGAAUGCCCUCUCAUUUUCAGAUGGAAUUUCCUCUGCUCCAGUUUGUGCCCAUUGCCCCACCUGCUACCCUGCUUCCUUCUCCCCUGUCCAGCAUGCUCCUUCAUUCACCAACACCUGGAUGGAGCUCAGAAACUCCCACACCAUCAGUAACGAAAGAUUUUUUCCCUCUCCUAAGUCCCUGUAGUAAAAGACAGUAAAUGUGGGAUGUGGAUCUUUUCGUUAUUUUUUUUAAGUAUGAAAAAUGGGAAAAAGAAAAAUUCUGCUUUAGUUUUGCAAAAAAUAUUCCUGCUAUGGAAAGGGAUAUUUUCUGUUGACCCUAUUGCAAACCAGGAUAGUACAUAUUAAUAUACAUAAUAGUACAUAUACAUAGUGGUUGUUCAUAUAUAUGUUUAUAUAGGCUUGCUUAAUUACACAUUUGUAUGUAUAUAUAUCAUACAUAAGUAUGUAUAGUAUAGUAUAGUAAGUAUACCAAAGGGUGUAUUUUCCUACAUAUGCAAUACAGGGAGAAAGGUAUAGCUUUCAGUUGUAACAAUAAGUUGUAUCAAUAAGCUCUUGCAUUUUGAAAAUGUCAUUGUACUGGGAGUAGGGGGAACAUUCAUUCCAUGCUUGCUGUGUAGCAUAUAACAUUGCAUACCUGGUGAACAUGAUUGAAAAUGAUCAUAAAACACCCUUGUAAAUGUUCUAUGCAUUAUUUGGGUUUGUCUUUUUUGUUUGUUUGUUUUGUUUUAUUGUCUGUUUUAUUUUUCUCCUAACCUUGAACCUUUGUAAUCUGGACUGAGAAAAUUUACAAAAUGCAAUGGUGAAUUUAGGAGACUGGCUUUUGUUAUCAUGUGUCUACACAUUUACUUAUUUGGCAAACAUUUUUUUUUUAUGAACAUACUGUAUCACUUCCUAUUUUAAAUUAAGGUUAUCAUAGAAAUCAAAACAAAUUAAAGAUCCAUUUGCUUUUCUGUGCAGGGUAAACUAGUACAGUUCUGCAAUAAAGUUUUAAUCAAUUUUGUGUUCUACUUGAAA